rnacentral:rRNA from 1 species
UACGUAGGGACCGAGCGUUGUCCGGAAUCAUUGGGCGUAAAGAGCGUGUAGGCGGCCACUUAAGUCCUGCGUGAAAUCUUGCGGCUCAACCGCAAGCGGUCGUGGGAAACUGGGUGGCUAGAGUGCGGGAGAGGAGAGUGGAAUUCCUGGUGUAGCAGUGAAAUGCGUAGAUAUCAGGAGGAAUACCGAUGGCGAAGGCAGGUCUCUGGGCUGAUACUGACGCUCAUGCACGAAAGCGUGGGGAGCAAACAGG